rnacentral:rRNA from 1 species
UACGAAGGGGGCUAGCGUUGCUCGGAAUUACUGGGCGUAAAGGGCGCGUAGGCGGAUAUUUAAGUUAGAGGUGAAAGCCCAGGGCUCAACCCUGGAACAGCCUUUAAUACUGGAUAUCUUGAGUUCGGGAGAGGUGAGUGGAACUCCGAGUGUAGAGGUGAAAUUCGUAGAUAUUCGGAAAGAACACCGGUGGCGAAGGCGACUCACUGGCCCGAUACUGACGCUGAGGUGCGAAAGCGUGGGGAGCAAACAGG